UGGGGAAUAUUGGACAAUGGGCGCAAGCCUGAUCCAGCCAUGCCGCGUGAGUGAUGAAGGCCCUAGGGUUGUAAAGCUCUUUCACCGGUGAAGAUAAUGACGGUAACCGGAGAAGAAGCCCCGGCUAACUUCGUGCCAGCAGCCGCGGUAAUACGAAGGGGGCUAGCGUUGUUCGGAUUUACUGGGCGUAAAGCGCACGUAGGCGGACUAUUAAGUCAGGGGUGAAAUCCCGGGGCUCAACCCCGGAACAGCCUUUGAUACUGGUAGUCUUGAGUUCGAGAGAGGUGGGUGAAAUUCCGAGUGUAUAGGUGAAAUUCGUAGAUAUUCGGAGGAAAACCAGUGGCGAAGGCGGCUCACUGGCUCGAUACUGACGCUGAGGUGCGAAAGCGUGGGGCGCAAACAGG
rnacentral:rRNA from 1 species